AAACAUAGACAGUUGCUUAUUCCCACUGUCCGCCAGGGUACUACGAGCAUUAGCUUGAAACCCAAAGGACUUGGCGGUGCUUUAGACCCACCUAGAGGAGCCUGUCCUAGAACCGAUAAUCCCCGUUCAACCUCACCUUUUCUAGCCCUAUAUCAGCCUAUAUACCGCCGUCGUCAGCUUACCCUGUGAAGGUAUUAAAGUAAGCGUAAUUGGUAUUACCCAGUACGUCAGGUCGAGGUGUAGCUUAUGGAAAGGGAAGAGAUGGGCUACAUUCCCUCCCCCCAGGGAACACGAACGGCGCACUGAAACGUGUGCACUGAAGGAGGAUUUAGAAGUAAGCAGGAAGUAGAGUGUCCU
rnacentral:rRNA from 1 species